rnacentral:rRNA from 1 species
UGGCUCAGAACGAACGCUGGCGGCAGGCCUAAUACAUGCAAGUCGAACGCCCGUAGCAAUACGGGAGUGGCAGACGGGUGAGUAACGCGUGGGAAUCUACCCAGUGGUACGGAACAACCAAGGGAAACUUUGGCUAAUACCGUAUACGCCCCUCGGGGGAAUGAUUUAUCGCCAUUGGAUGAGCCCGCGUCGGAUUAGCUAGUUGGUAGGGUAAUGGCCUGCCAAGGCGACGAUCCGUAGCUGGUCUGAGAGGAUGAUCAGCCACACUGGGACUGAGACACGGCCCAGACUCCUACG